UACGUAGGGGGCUAGCGUUGUCCGGAAUCAUUGGGCGUAAAGCGCGCGUAGGCGGCCAGAUAAGUCCGGUGUGAAAGUCAAAGGCUCAACCUUUGAAUGCCGCUGGAAACUGUCUGGCUUGAGUCCGGAAGGGGCGAGUGGAAUUCCUGGUGUAGCGGUGAAAUGCGCAGAUAUCAGGAGGAACACCGGUGGCGAAGGCGGGGUCUCUGGGCGAGUAACUGACGC
rnacentral:rRNA from 1 species